GAAAAACGCCCAUGGUUUGUUCUCCUUUCAAACCACUUCCAAAUCAUUUAACUCUGAAUAUCUUUCCUUUUCUGGAAUAGUGCCGACCAACAAAUUCUACAAUAAUUCGAUGAUGGAACGGCAACCUGCAAAAAUAUUACUGUAUCAAAAACACUGACCAAGUAUUCCGGCGGCAAUGGCCGUGUAUCGGAUUUUAUGAAGUGCAAUUCGAUGGAAAUUCCUGCACGGCGAUCUAAUUACACUCUAUUAAGCCAAAAUCCCGACGAGCCGUUUUAUCCACAACCACUAUCCACAGCAGCCUUUGGUUGGGACGCGAUUGAUCAGAGAAUGAUUUCAGCGCCGCCGCAGAAGCAGUCGAGUGGGAGCAGCUUCGCCGAGAGCUCGUUAUCGGGGGAUUAUUAUGCGCCCUCGCUCUCCAACCCCGAUGACGUCGGUAUCAGUAGUAAUUUGAGUGAUGGAGUUGGCGAAUUCAGGGCUUUUGGCUCUUCUAAAAGCUGGGCUCAGCAGACGGAGGAGGGCUACCAGUUGCAGUUCACUUUGGCUCUUCGUCUCUCGUCUGAGGCUACAUGUGCUGAUGAUCCUAAUUUGUUGCAUCCUGUGCCUAACGAAGCCGUCUCCAUUGCUUCUUCCGAGAUUUCUCAUCGAUAUUGGAUAAAUGGUUGCUUGUCAUACUUCGAUCGAGUACCUGAUGGAUUUUACAUGAUUCAUGGGAUGAAUCCAUAUGUUUGGACUGUGUGCUCUGAUCAUCAGGAAAGUGGCCGCAUUCCUUCCCUUGAAUCAUUAAGGACCGUUGAUCCUGCCUGUGUUUCUUCAGUUGAAGUGAUUUCAGUAGAUCGACGGGGUGAUCCUAGCUUGAAAGAACUUCACAAUCGAACUAAUGGCUUGUCAUCUAGUUGCAUCACCACAAAGGAAGUUGUUGAACAGCUAGCAAAGCUAGUUUGUAAUCAUAUGGGGGAUGCAGCAUCUAACGGGGAAGAUAAUUUGGUCACCCCUUGGAAAGAGUGCAUUGAUGAGUUAAAAGAUUGCAUGGGUUCAGUAGUUCUCCCUGUUGGCAGUCUGUCUAUUGGACUUUGCCGACAUCGCACACUGCUAUUCAAAGUUUUAGCUGAUGGUAUUGGGUUACCAUGUCGAAUUGCAAGGGGGUGUAAAUAUUGUACUAGAGAAAAUGCUUCGUCGUGCCUUGUUCGCUUUGGGCUUGACAGGGAGUAUCUUGUCGAUUUAGUUGAGAAACCAGGGUGCUUAUAUGAGCCUGAUUCAUUACUGAACGGUCCUUCUACUAUCUCAAUUUCAUCACCUUUACGCUUUCCACGAUUUAGGCAGGUGGAAUCUCCAACUGAUUUUAGGCUGCUGGCCAAACAGUUCUUCUCGGAUAUUCAGUUUCUUAAUUCUGAAUUCUGUGAGUUUUUAGCAGCUGGAACUGUUAAUAAGGGAGGUACUGACAACUCCAUGCAUCAUAAACAAUCAGAGGGGAACUACAUGGAUAGGAGCAGCUGCCCACCCAGCUCAACCUCUCAUGAGGAGAUUUCUAUCACACCACAAUAUGCCACAAAUUCUUGGAUCAAGGUUCACGGUCAAGGCCAAUUGCUUUCCAGACCAUCCGACUUUCAGGAAGUUAUGAGCUCCUCAAAUACGUUCUCAGAAUCGAUCCCUGAGAAGCUUCUUCCCCAAUCAGGGCAUGGAAAUGCUCAAGUUCUUCCCUUCUUGAGUCCUAGAAUAGAAACAAGCAAAAAUUCAAGGUUUGGUGAAGGAGGUCAAUUAUUCCCAUCUAAAUCAAGGGAAUAUACCUUCUAUGUGGAUGAUCUAAACAUUCCAUGGAGCGAUCUUGUUGUAAAGGAGAUAAUUGGGGCAGGUUCAUUCGGGACAGUUCAUCGUGCUGAGUGGAAUGGAUGUGAUGUUGCUGUGAAAAUUCUCAUGGAACAAGACUUUCAUGCAGAGCGAUUCAAAGAGUUUAUACGAGAGGUGGCAAUUAUGAAACGACUGAGGCAUCCAAAUAUUGUGCUUUUUAUGGGUGCAGUAACAGAACCACCUAACUUGUCUAUAGUUACAGAAUAUUUGUCAAGUGGUAGUCUUUACAGACUUUUGCAUAAACCUGGUGCAAGAGAGGUACUAGAUGAGAAACGCCGUCUGAGCAUGGCUUAUGAUGUGGCAAAAGGGAUGAACUAUCUUCACAAACGCAAUCCUCCAGUUGUUCAUCGAGACCUAAAAUCUCCUAAUCUUUUAGUUGAUAAAAAGUAUACUGUGAAGGUCUGUGAUUUUGGUCUUUCCCGUUUAAAAGCAAACACAUUUCUUUCAUCCAAGUCUGCUGCUGGAACUCCUGAGUGGAUGGCACCUGAAGUGCUCCGUGAUGAACCAUCGAAUGAAAAAUCAGAUGUAUACAGUUUUGGUGUUAUUUUGUGGGAGCUGGCAACAUUGCAGCAACCUUGGGGUAACCUGAAGCCUGCACAGGUUGUGGCAGCUGUUGGUUUUAAAGGAAAAAGGCUUGAAAUUCCCCGAGAUGUGAAUCCUGAAGUAGCAGCCAUUAUCGAGGCUUGCUGGGCCAAGGAAUCCUGGAAAAGACCCUCCUUUUCCAGUAUCAUGGAAUCAUUGAGACCAUUCAUUAAGAACUCAGCACUAACUCAGCCAGGUUCUGCUGAAAUGCCUUUGCUGAUGUGAAAUUGCAUGAAUCGAGGAAACUUGGUUCGAUUUCAGAUUCAUAUGAUGUAAGGACCCAGUGUAAAUAUAUAAUUUUGGUUUCUAUUUUGGCUGUGUAAUUGUCAAUGCCAAUUGGCAAAUGCAUGUGUUUGUAUAUUAAGUUAAGACAACAAAAUGUAUAAUAAAACAUAUGUUGGUUUAGGGUCUAUUGUUAAUAGGAGAUUCUUCAUCCAACCAUUCCUUGAUGUCUGAACAUCCUUCAAGCUGCAUUGACCCUAUUUCCGAAACAUCUAAAAGCCCACUCUCAACCCCAAAAUCCGGUGCAUCGUAGUAAUUGCUAACAUAACCCCACGGAUCACCAGCUUCCAGGCCCAUGCUCCACGCGUCUCCUGCUAUCAAGAAUCCAGGAACACCAUUCUCCACAACUACAUUCUGCGGAGAAGAGGCAAAAUGCUCGUCGGCUGUGGGGUUCAUGGCACCAACCGAGCCAUCCUUCUUCGGGGCAUGGAUGAGUUCAUCUCCCCUGACCUGGUGCAGUGAUGGUUGAUCAGAGCCGGGUGUCACAUCAAAACUGCAGAGCUCGGUCUGAUGUUUCACGAACUUUCUCAUUGUUCUAGAGGAUGAAGGAAUGCUCGAGUUGAUCAAUCUCGCCAGGAAUGAGAUCAUCUGCUUGUGUCUCGUCUCUGCUGCCUCGAGCUUCUCCUUCACCACUUGCAUAUGCUGAACCAUAAGGCGCUGCUCGUCCUGCAAUCCCAUCAGCUCCUCCAUCAUUAGUCGUCUCUCCCUCCUCGACUCUCUAAUCUCAGCUUGCCAUGCGGUAGAUGGCCCCUCAAGCCGGUGAUGUGAUUUCCGUCUCUGUAUCGUCUUCAAUAGAUGCCUCUGCCCUUGUACAAAUCCUCCACUCCUAAACUCCCAUUUAUCCGUGUCUAUUUUGCGAAAUCCCUGCACAUUAGUAUUAUUUAUAUCUCUCUA